CAGAAGCAAUAUAAAUUUCCAUUUAAAAUUAGACUUGGAUUUAGAAGUGGUUUGCCAAAUCUUGUCAUAAAUUCUACAGCCAAUUUGAGUAAAUCAGUGCAGUGAUUAGUGGUCCGGUUCUCUUUUAUUUAUAAAUGCUUCCGUAAAUAGUUUAUUUAUAGACGAGCACCGAAUCAUUCAGCUAGCAACAUUGCCGCUUCCAAUCGCAUUUAUUGGGACGCUCUUCUGUGUUGCUGUAUUGCUGUAUUGCCGGAAUUUAUGCGUCAAUGCACCUGACGAAAAAAGUCGAACAUGUCGCACUUGAAGUGGCGAAAAAAGUGCGAGUAGUAAUAUAUGCAAAAGGCACACUGCACAUGGCAGUGGCACUCGUUUUAUUUACACGACAAGUGGCAAUUACAAAAAUCCGCCGGCAGUAAUUCUCAUUUCUCUGCACGUGGAGUGGCAUUAAAAUGUUGCCAUUUUUAUUCACAUUUGCCUCGACAACUCUUGGGAAUCAGUUGUACAGAUUAAUUCGAUUGUGUUCCCCUAAAUUCCAAAUUAUAUUCCCCAAUAAUUGGUUCGCUUUGAUUUCUGCUCAUUGAACAUGGCCUCGGCAUGCGUUUGAAGAUUUUUGGCCUCAGUCGUUGGGCAUAUCUCUUGGCCAACUCAGAUCAGCAGCAGAUGCAGCCGCUUUUAUUGCCUUAUUGAUGCAACUGUUUACAUGUGUAAUUAAGUUACCAGCCCACUGACCAUUGUUGUUAUUACCAUGGCCGAGAUUCGUAGGAUGCUGGACUUGGGGCUAUAGCACUCGGUUAUAUUUAUGCUGUUGCAGUAUUGUUGUCGGAAUUAAAUCGGCAAACAUGACACUCGAAAAAAUAAUAAAGCAAUCAGUUAAGCGCAGCAACUGUGCGGUUCGAGUGUGCGAGUGCAAUGAAAUUUUAUGAGCUUAUAGUGGUGCUAAGCAUUAAAUUAAAAUAUGCACCAAUGUUAACAAGCGCCUCGGUUGAUGUCUGUUGAUUGCGAUAAAGGCACGCUCGUAAAAGCUAUGUUACGCAUACGCCCUGUCAUGCAGAGACCUCAACGACAAACGACAAACGACAACGACGACGUCGCCAUUUUGCCUAGAUGUUGUCAAACAUGGCCAGACAAGGAGCGACGGGCAGAAACACCUCACUCAUUGGCCAAAACUAGUGGCUGGGAGCAGGGGAAGCAGAACACCUCACACCAGUGGUGAC